rnacentral:lncRNA from 1 species
CCGCCCCCGCGUCGUCUUCCUCCUCCUCGAUGCCCGCGUUGCCUCCAGCCGCCGUGGCCGACGCGGCGAAGGCAUGCGACGACCGCGCGGACGGUUCGAGGGAGUCGUCGUCGCUCCCGAGGGAGGAGGUGAUCCGGCGCCUGCGCCUGCUGCGCCAGCCGGCCACGCUCUUCGGCGAGGACGACGCCGCGCGCCUCCGCCGCCUCCACGACGCGCUCGAGGACCCCGCCGCGGUCGCGGGCGUCGACGCCGCCGAGAUCGGGGAGGGGCAGACCAACGACUUCCUCCGCGACAUCCAGGCCCCGCGCGCCAAGGCCUUGGCUGUGGCGUCCAAGCCCAAGCCCGGCGUUGCCGAGAGCAGCCACGGCGAGAGCGAGGAGGAGGCGCCGUUCGACGAGCUCUGCGACGAGGACAAGAUCGUGGCCUUCUUCAAGCGGCUGCUGAGCGAAUGGAACCAGGAGCUGGACGAGACGCCCGAGGCGGAGCGGCGCACGGCCAGGGGCAAGGCCGCGGUGGCCACGUGCAAGCAGUGCGCGCGCUACCUGGAGCCGCUCUUCAGGCUGUGCAGGAAGAAGGCCCUCCCCGGCGACGUCCGGCGCGCGCUGCUGGACGUGGUGCGGUGCUGCGCGCGGCGGGACUACCUGGCGGCCACGGACAGCUACAUCAAGCUGGCGAUCGGCAACUCGCCGUGGCCGAUCGGGGUGACCAUGGUGGGCAUCCACGAGCGGUCGGCCCGGGAGAAGAUCCACGCCAACGGCGUCGCCCACGUGAUGAACGACGAGACGACGAGGAAGUACCUGCAGUCGGUGAAGCGGCUCAUGACCUUCUGCCAGCGGAGGUACCCCACGGACCCGUCCAGGUCGGUCGAGUUCAACAGC